GACCUUUAGUUUGAAACCCCGAAACCAGGUGAGCUACCCCGAGACAGCCUAUUGAGGGCCAACCCGUCUCUGUGGCAAAAGAGUGGGAAGAGCUCCGGGUAGAAGUGACAGACCUACCGAACCUGGUGAUAGCUGGUUGCCUAAGAAAUGGAUAGAAGUUCAGCCUCGUACUCCCCAAAUCAAGUAAACAUUAGCAAGACAGCAAGAGAAAUACACGAGAGUUAGUUAAAGGGGGUACAGCCCCUUUGACAAAGGAUACAACCUUUCUAGGAGGAUAAAGAUCAUAAUACAUAAAACAUACUGUUCUAGUGGGCCUAAAAGCAGCCACCUAAAUAGAAAGCGUUAAAGCUCAGACAGACAGAAGUUUAUUAUCCUGAUAAUAUAUCUCACUCCCCUAAAUACUAUUAGGCCAACCCAUGCCCACAUGGAAGAGAUUAUGCUAAAAUGAGUAACAAGAAGGCCCGCCCUUCUCCAAGCACAAGUGUAAGCCAAAUCGGACUAGCCAUUGGCAACUAACGAACUCAACCCAAGAGAGCAAUGUGGUAUUACAAAAAAACCUAGAAAAACCCACAACCUAAAUAUCGUUACCCCCACACUGGAGUGCAACAAAGGAAAGACUAAAAGAAAAGGAAGGAACUCGGCAAACACAAGCCUCGCCUGUUUACCAAAAACAUCGCCUCCUGCAACACAACCAAGUAUAGGAGGUCCAGCCUGCCCAGUGACUACAAGUUCAACGGCCGCGGUAUUUUGACCGUGCAAAGGUAGCGCAAUCACUUGUCUUUUAAAUAGAGACCUGUAUGAAUGGCUAAACGAGGGCUUAACUGUCUCCCCUUUCCAGUCAGUGAAAUUGAUCUACCCGUGCAGAAGCGGGUAUAAUAAUACAAGACGAGAAGACCCUUUGGAGCUUAAGGUACAAAACUCAACCACGUUAAGCAACUCAAUAAAAAAUGAAAACUUUGUGGAAUAUGAGAUUUUACCUUCGGUUGGGGCGACCACGGAGGAAAAAAAAGCCUCCAGGUGGACCGGGAGAAUUUCCUAAAACUAAGAGAGACAUCUCUAAGCCACAGAACAUCUGACCAAAUAUGAUCCGGCUAAUACAAGCCGAUCAACGAACCAAGUUACCCUAGGGAUAACAGCGCAAUCCUCUCCCAGAGUCCAUAUCGACGAGGGGGUUUACGACCUCGAUGUUGGAUCAGGACAUCCUAAUGGUGCAGCCG
rnacentral:rRNA from 1 species